GAUGAACGCUGGCGGCGUGCUUGAUACAUGCAAGUCGAACGGAGAGUGUAGCAAUAUACUUUUAGUGGCGCACGGGUGAGUAACGCGUAUCCAACCUGCCCAUAACUAAGGGAUAAUCCGUAGAAAUGCGGUCUAAUACCUUAUGUUGUCCGAGGAAGACAUCUGAUUCGGACGAAAGAUUUAUCGGUUAUGGAUGGGGAUGCGUCUGAUUAGCUUGUUGGCGGGGUAACGGCCCACCAAGGCGACGAUCAGUAGGGGUUCUGAGAGGAAGGUCCCCCACAUUGGAACUGAGACACGGUCCAAACUCCUACGGGAGGCAGCAGUGAGGAAUAUUGGUCAAUGGACGAGAGUCUGAACCAGCCAAGUAGCGUGCAGGAUGACGGCCCUAUGGGUUGUAAACUGCUUUUAUACGGGGAUAAAAGGUGUCACGUGUGACAUUUUGCAGGUACCGUAUGAAUAAGGACCGGCUAAUUCCGUGC
rnacentral:rRNA from 1 species